GUCUAUUUUUAUUAUGAUUUCAAAUGGCAUCAUGUAAAUUAUGUCUAUAAAAAUGUUUUUAUUUGUAGUGACGAAGAUAUUGAUUCUGGUCCUGCUGCUGUUCCUGUUUCAGCGCCUCAGGGAAGUAGGCUAAGUAGCAGUUCUGAUGAGUUUAUAUCUGAACCACACUCCCCCAUUAGCAAAAGGUCUAAGCAUAGAGGAAAAGGUAGGUGAAUGGGUAGAGGUAGAGCUAGAGGGAAGCCGACUAGGGCCUAGGCGAAUGUUCCCUGUCUAGCACCCCACUAGGCCCCAUAGUGCAUGAGGGAUUUGGUGAUCCUGACACUAGGAAUAUUCUCCCAGAUUUUGCACCUUACUGACAUGUCGUGAUCCAUUUUGAUCAAGCUUUCACCAGAAGUAUGAACUGUGAGCUUGAGUUCUUUCGACUCUUUUUCAUUAAGGAAAUGCUUCAGAAGGUAGUUGCCCAUACCAAUACAUAUGCCCACAUACAAAUAACCCAAAAAUCAUCCUCGUAUACUAAUAAAGAAGGGUCUUGGAUGGCCACCAACCUUGAGGAGAUCGAGAGGUUGAUUGCCUUUUUAGUAUAUGCAUGUUUGGUAAAGGUCGAAAGUGAGAUUGAAAAUUAUAGGAGUGUAAAAACCUUAUAUCAUGGUCUGUGGGCAAGAGAAAUAAUUUCUUGGUUUAGGUACAAAGCCCUUAUGGCAUUUCUGAAUGUGGUUAACCCUGUCACUGAAGACCCUAGCAAUAAACUGCAUCAACAACUGUACCAGCCAUCGCAGAGUAUUGCUGUUGACAAACGCGUGGUCAAAUCAAGGAAUAGGUCAGGGAUUAAGGACAUUAAGCAGUACAUGAAAGAUAAGCCAGCUACUAAGUGGAGGAUAAAUCUGUGGGUUGCUACAGACAGUUCUCAUGAUUAUACUUGCAACUUUGAGAUUUAUACAGGGAAGAAGUCCAGAGAAUCAUCGCAGCAUGGAUUGGGGUAUGACGUGGUGAUGUGAUCUAAGUUUUGUUACAGUCUUAGGUCUUUUGUGGUCCAAUAUAUAUUUUGUGCCAAAAAAAGAAAUAUUUUCACCAGAUGCAAGAAAAAAUCCGUCGGGCAGAACACGAAUAUAUGAAUAUACCCCCCCCCCCCCAAUUAUCGUUCUANNNNNNNNNNNNNNNNNNNNGUUCUAGCUACGGCCCUAUGUAUAGUAAUUGUAGAAAUAAAGACAUUUUGCAAGUAGUGAUUUGAGUGUUCUUUUGUCGGUAUCACAGACUUAUUUUGAUGCCAUACUAUCCUUGGAGAGUAAGAAAUAUUGGAAAUUUGGUGAAAAGUAUUGAUAAUAUGCUGC
rnacentral:lncRNA from 1 species